GGGUGAUUAGCUCAGCUGGGAGAGCACCUCCCUUACAAGGAGGGGCUCGGCGGUUCGAUCCCGUCAUCACCCACCA
rnacentral:tRNA from 2 species